UGCCGCAACUGAACCUGCUGCAGCGAAUUAAUAUUCGCUGCCGAUUUGUGUGUUGCGCAGCGAAAUUCUGUUUUGCUGCCGCAACUGAACCUGCUGCAGCGAUUUGAUAUUCGCUGCCGAUUUGUGUGUUGCGCAGCGAAAUUCUGUUUCGCUGCCGCAACUGAACCUGCUGCAGCGAAUUGAUAUUCGCUGCCGAUUUGUGUGUUGCGCAGCGAAAUUCUGUUUCGCUGCCGCAACUGAACCUGCUGCAGCGAUUUGAUAUUCGCUGCCGAUUUGUGUGUUGCGCAGCGAAAUUCUGUUUCGCUGACGCAACUGAACCUGCUGCAGCGAUUUGAUAUUCGCUGCCGAUUUGUGUGUUGCGCAGCGAAAUUCUGUUUCGCUGCCGCAGCUGAACCUCCUGCAGCGAAGUGAUAUUCGCUGCCGAGUUGUGCGUUGUGCAGCGAAACUGUGGCGCCAACAGCGGUGCAGUUCUCGCUGCCGAACUGGCAGCCUGCGGCGAACCAGUUCUCGCUGCCGAAUUGGGCAGCCCGCAGCGAACCAGUUCUCGCUGCCGAUUCCUACAAUAAGCCUCCUAGGCAGGAAUGACUUAAAUGCUAAUAACAAUUUCAUGAUAUGAUGGUGUAAAAUAGGGAACACUUGAAUGUGAACAUAUGAACUAUUGAAAUAAGUGUGAUGAUGAAUGUGAUUCAAAAAUAAAAUAAAUACAACUGUGCUGAUUUGUGACCAUUGAUGUCUUAGGUGGUGCGGUCGGGAUUGGACCAUCAUCAAGACAGGAACGACCCACAGGUGGAGCAGGGACGUCACACCAACGAGAUGUCUAGGAUACCCGAUACACGGGAAUCUACUUUUGCAAGGAAUUAAGUAGAUGCAUUCUAACUCACAAUGUAUUUUGUAGGGAUCAAUGUACUAAAUGUAUAACUUUUAUUAGAUCCUUUUUGUUUAAAAUUUGUGAUGGCUAUUAGUAGUAUAAGAAUGCAAACUCAUGUCCAUGUAUAUAUAUUUUUAAUAUGAACUUCAAAUCAUGCAACCUUAAUAUUAUGUGUUUGUGUAAGAUUCGCU